AGCAGAAUGUAACCUAAAUAUAUUUAUAUAUUUAUAAAUCUAAUAUUGUAUAUAAAGGUAAAACACACAACAUUAGAAAUCCACCAGCUCUUGCAGUAAAGCAGCUGAAUCUCAGUUCAACACAAACACAGAGCAAAAACCACCAGUGAAACAUAACUUGGAUCUUUUAUCAAAGAUAAAACUUAGUAAUGUUGACUCUGGCCUCGUUUCUCUCUUUGUGGGAGGCUUUUUUGCAAAACAGCUUUAUUCACUGGAGGGAAAUCUGAUCAGACCAGCUGCCACAAAGCAGAAAGGACAAAGGGAGAAAAGAGAUGGAGACUGCCCUCUCUGUGGGAGUGACUUCCUCUUCAUCUCUUGGAUAAUGGAUCUCCAGUACUGAGUUGAUCUCUGAAGGCUCCAGGGGCCGGGCUAUUGAGCGGCCAUCUGGCCAGUAGACCUCAACAUUGGUGGCCACAUCCUUACCUGUUUAGAUCGGGUUCAGUGAGCAGCAGUGGGUGCACUUGGAGGCCUGGAUCACCACCAGCUGACCGUGUCUGGGGAGGCGAAAGGAAACCAGGAUCUGGUCACUCACAAUACUUGUUGGCCUCCAGCUGCAACACCUGUUCUUCUGUCUCCUGGUACCUGAAAAGUCUGUUGGCGGAGGGGCCUCUGUAGGCGAUAUUGUUGAAGAAAACCUCCAGCUCGUUGUCAUUGUCAAAGUCUGCAGCAAUGACGGUUCGGACGGGGGAUGGCAUGGAAAACUUCUGGGAGGCUAUGUCCUGGGGAAAAAGGCACAUCGGUGAAUCACAAACACACUCAUGCAUACAUGAGUAAGGAAAUUCAGAAGCAGCAGUCAUCAAGCAUGUUUAAUCAGUUAUAUCAAAAUGGUUAUCGCAGACUUACAGUAUAUUAACCUACAAUGAUUAUUACAGGUUUGUGCAUCAGUGGGUUAAAUACAUGAAAACUAAGUACUUAUUUUUUUUAAUUGAAAAAGUUAUUUGACUGCUGUUUUAUUGCAGUUAUUUGUAUUCUUAUUAGAUGUACUAUUAUCUGUUUUAUGCCCACUCUGAGUGUCCUUAAAGUUAUUCUCUUGGUUUAUAAAAGAGAGUUUGACACUGCAAAUGUGAAAUGUAAAUAUCUUUGUCUUUUAUGGAUUGUAUAAAGUUUAACACAGACUUUUCCUGAAUAACCUGUUGGUCAACUUUACUGAAAAAUAAUGAUGUAAGAAAAAACCCUCCACUUCCCACGGAGCACUCAACUGGUUUUGGACACUACUCCAUAACCUGAAGGUCACAAGUCCCACUACAAACAUGUUUAUCAAUAAUAAGUGUCCAGUCCUUCAGUUGGACAGCUAUGGCUAAGGGUUGCAUCUAAAGAUAAGAACAAAGAGCCUUUUUACAUCCUCUGGCAUGAGAAAAGUAGACAGACCCUCACCCCAUCAAAAAAAGUCUCUGCAGCAGAGAAGUUUUUCCCAUGAGAAAGUAACAGAUAUUUCCCUGCUUCAGUGACACGGUGAUAAGUUGAAAAAAGGGUAAUAGAGCACCCCUUCACUCCCCCACAGUAUUUACUCCCAUUUUAAUUAUAAGGCUCAUAAAGCUGCAGGGAUGGGGGCCACCCACAGUGACCUUCUGCUUCUCAGGUAAAGGAGAGGGGAUGGCCAUCUGAUGCUGUGAGGGAGGACGACAGGGAGGGACUGCUCUACAUUUACUGUAUUACCAUAUGUACAUGUGCCAACAAAAAAAAAGAAGAAGAAAAAGAAGAAGAAUUGGACUUUCAUUGCUCCAUUCAGUUUUGUUGAAACUAGAGAUUU